CCUGCCCCUAACCUUGGUCUGAUCCACCGAGGUGAAAAGCCGUUCCCUUACGGCCUGGGGCGGGAGAACGUUCUAAGGG
rnacentral:ncRNA from 1 species